CUGGUCACCAUCAGGGCUUGUCCUCCCUAUCCAUUCUGGACCCUACAUACCUUCAUCCAUGGGGGUGGAUUAGUUGUCACUUCUGCCCAUGGUAGAAUAUAUCCUAUCUGAUCUAGGUGACCAGGAUUGCCAAGAGUGGCAUUGGUUAUAGCCCAUGCCACCUGGGGAUCAAAGGUACCCUCAGGGGGUCAGCUGACUCCAAAGGUGGGCCAUUCUGUCUCAUAGAAAGUUCCGAGGCGAUUCUUGGUGAUGGCGCCACUGAGGUUUCAGAGAGGGUUGUUAUCUGGUCAGGGAAAAGCCAGGCAUGGGUGAGUUCAAGGCACAGACAGGCAUUCCAAGCAAGUUUAAAACAUCAGAAUAUGGCCAGGCCAAAUAGAAAUCCUAAUAUUUUACAGAAAACAGAAAUGAAUCUUUUAUAACUUUUGACAAGAUGGCUCCUGACCUUAAGAGGGAAUUAGGCUGGGUUUAUCAAAGGGAAAACAAUAGAGUAAAGGAAGGGGCUGGAGAGGGAGGAAUGAAGGAAGGGGGUAGGGAAGUACUGGAUUACAAAAUCUACCGGAUUGUGCUAUGUGCAGGUUUGAAUAUGACAUACAUCUCACUAUUAUGUUAAAUUAUAAUAAAACAUUGCAAAUAUUUUAUACAAAUUUUUUUUUCUCCUUUUUAAAUUGCUGCCUUAUAAUUACACAUAACUAUACUCUCAUUUCCCAAAGACACUUCUGAUCCUGGGGUAUGUAAAAUGUCAACCCAAUUCACUGCAACAUUUCCUGAGCAAGCUUCAAGUCACAGGAGCAUAGCUGGGUGAUAGAGUGCUUGCCCAGAAUUUACAAGGCCCUGUGUUUGAGCCCAAGGCAUGGCUAAAAAAAAUUAAAUAAAAUUUUAAAAUAAUAGUAGGAUUCAUUAUGACAUAUUCUUCUCCUACAUGCAUAUGUAUAACACAAUGUGAAAAUUUUCAUUUCCUAGUACCUCCCCUUUCCUCCCAUCCUCCCACCCCUUGAUCCUAUUUCUCUACCCUACUGGUCUCCCUUCUAUUUUCAUAUUUUUGUCUUGUUUUGUUCCCUUGGCCUCCAUAUGAGAAAAAAUAUAUGACCCUUAACUUUCUGGAGUCUGGUUUAUUUCACUUAAUAUGAUCCCCUCCAGCUUCAUACAUUUUUCUGCAAACGAUAUAAUUUUGCUCUUCUUUAGGGCUGAAUAAAACUCCAUUGUGUGUAUAUACAUUUACUUUACCUAUUUGUCGACAGACAACUAGUCUGGAUCUAUAAUUUGGCUAUGUCAAUUGUGCGGCUAUAAAUAUGGUUAUACCUUUAUCUCUAUAGUAUGUUGACUUCAAUUCUUUUGGAUAAAUACCAAAAAGUGGGAUAGCUGGAUCAUAUGGUGGUUUCAUUCCUAAUUUCCCAAGUAGCUUAUUUUUAAAAGUAGUUGUACUGAAGUGGCACCUGCUUUCUCCACAGAAAAGCCCUCUUCACCAUGGCUGAUUUUAGGUCAGCAAAAGAGUCUCUGCAAAAGAGUUCAAUGUAGAUAAAUUUCUUAUUUUCAUGUUGCCCUGUUUUACUUGGCCACUGGCCAGAAAGAUAUGAACACUCCAGGUGCUGGACACCCCCUUACUAGUUUUUCACAAACGUAUCCAGUAUAGUAGUUUGUAGAAAUGUACAAACAAGGCCUCUGGCCUUAAGCUGGGGCUUCACAGAGAUGUCUACAUUUUUAAGAUAAGUUACAAUUGGGCUCCAUGGUAACAGCUGGCAAGGGGAGGAAAGAAAGGGGAGAAGAAGCCCUCCCCUUCUCAGGUGUUGUCCUUGAGGAGUUAACUUGCCCAGAACAGUGAGAGAAAAAGCUGCUCUAAUUUGAUUUUAAUUGGAGUCAGUGGUCUUUUCUUUGCAUCCUGGUCUAACAAAAGGCAGUAUGAAAAGAUUGUACUUGGCUUUCCCUAGGGUAGUGCUGAUUCACUAAGCCCGUGAUUGUGCAUUUCUAUUACAAAUUCAGGGAAUUUGAAAUGACCCCUAUUAGCUGGACUAGGGACAGGUCCAUUUAUUCCUGACUCCAUGUGAAACUUCUCAGUACCAGGGGGCCAUGGUGAUAGAUUCAAUAUGAGCUCAGCUCACAUUGUCUACAGGAUGCAUGUCUGCAUAUUUUGUUUCUCUAUGCACAGAGACCAAAGUGAAUGUGUGGAUGGCCCUGGGGGGGCAGGCUGAAAGGGGACACUGAACUGGCUCUGGUGUUAGAGGUUCUCCCCAGAUAGGAGCCUGGCUCUCCUCCUAGGAAUGAGUUUAGGCUCUGAAACAUGGCCAAGGUCUGGAAACUGAGCAAAAAACCAGACUUUUGGUGGGUGUAAACUUUCAGUCUCCUGAUCAUCCAUCCUUGAGUUUUGCUUUACUUCUUGAAAUCAGGCAGAAUCUGAGUUGCCUGCCAGGUGCUUUGCCAUUUGGUUCCCUGUGAUCUCUCAGCCCCAGGCUUAGCUCCCUGAGGUUCAGGCCCCUGCCUGGCUUCCUCCUUUCUGACUGUAUGCACCAUUGCACACAUUUUCCUUCUAUCUUUUCAUGGCCUCCAUUUGGGGUCUAUCAGUAUUUUUCCCCCCUUUACUUUUAGGAUCCCAGUUCUGAAACCAGACAUUCCACCACAGAUCCCAACCUUUAGCAAUCAUAUCAGUGACCUUCUAGACAAUGCUGGUGCCCUUGUGAGCAGACUUUUUGUUUUAUGUUAUUA
rnacentral:lncRNA from 1 species